rnacentral:lncRNA from 1 species
AAUUUGGGCCUAAUCAUGAUAAGUCAUGUUCAAAUACGAGUAUACUAAUACGCCUAUAUCUAAUAUAUAACAUAUCGUUUCAAUAGAACGCAUACGACAAGUCUAUUUAAAAUACACAAUCCUAUGACUGCGGAGUUCCAUAAUAAUUGAAUACUAGAAUACUUAAUACGUCCGAAUUUAAUGACAGAAAUAUAAAGUUUACAUUUAUAACUCU